GCGGAUCCGCGGUGCAGUCAGCUCUCCGUCUGGGACGUGAGGCUGGUGGAGCAGAGAGGCGAGCUGUGGAGCUGUGCGAGCAGGAGGCUGAACUAGCUCUGAGACUCGCCUGGCUCUGUGAGAGCAGCCUACAUCCGGGUCGCUGGUCCUCUCCCCGCCCCACUGCCUCUGGGUCAGAGGUCUUGACCCAGUGACCCGGUCCUUGUCCCACAGAAGCCAGAGGAGGAGCCCAUGGCUGAGUGCUGACUGGGAUCUCAGGCUCGCGGCUGUGGGGCCGGAAGACAGAGUUCUGGACGCCUCGAGGAGGCCGAGGCACCGACUGGGCCCGGGUUACAGCGUGAGCGCGGGCGCCAGCGGGGCAGCUGCCAGGGAGCCGGGCUUGUAGGCUCCGGUCUUGAGGCACCUCAGUGCGGACCCGGGGCUGGGUUCCGGGUUUCCAGCUGAUCCAGGCGCGGUGCACAGGUGACUAGCUCAAGGAUGGCUACACAAAAGCACUCUUUUGAAUGUUUCUGGAGUGAAUGAAUAAACCCACAACAGUCAGAACUGCAUAUGGCUUGAACAGAUCAGUUCCUUGCAGUGUUAAUGAGGGAUCAACUUAAAACGGCUGAAAAUCUAGAAAGUGGCUGCCUCAUUUAGUGAAACUAAGGGCAGUCUCUUUUUCUUCUUUAUACUAUGUAACAUUUUGGAGCCGGCAGCUGAUUCCCUGCAAGCAGGCAAGUUCCUGUGACCUGAUGGGAAACUACCUGACUUUUGGGUUCUUUAUGGUCUUCUGCUCAGUGGAAAUAAACUUGGUUUUCUCUUUUCUUGCA